rnacentral:lncRNA from 1 species
GGGCAUCCAAGAUUGUAAAUCUUGUUGUCUCUGUUUCAAAAUGUGCUCUUCCUACCUCAACUUUUUUUUUCCUACACAGGAAAUUACAAGAAAAAAAUAAACAAGCACAAUCUAACCUUGCAGGAAAAUAAAUAAAUAAAUAAAUAAACACAACAAAUAAUAAGAAUACCUUCUUUCUUUUUCUUUUCUUUUUUAUUUUUCCUUUGGCUGUGUGUGUUGAGAGGGUUUAAUAAUAAGAAUACCUUCGCUCUCUCCUCUUCAUUUGUAUCCAUGAUAUAGGCAUUAGCAGUUUCAUGCUUAACACAUGUCUUGCAGCACC